UUGACCUCGGAUCAGGUAGGGAUACCCGCUGAACUUAAGCAUAUCAAUAAGCGGAGGAAAAGAAACCAACCGGGAUUGCCUCAGUAACGGCGAGUGAAGCGGCAAGAGCUCAAAUUUGAAAGCUGGCCCCUCCGGGGUCCGCGUUGUAAUUUGCAGAGGAUGCUUUGGGUGCGGCCCCCGUCUAAGUGCCCUGGAACGGGCCGUCAGAGAGGGUGAGAAUCCCGUCUUGGGCGGGGUGUCCGUGCCCGUGUAAAGCUCCUUCGACGAGUCGAGUUGUUUGGGAAUGCAGCUCUAAAUGGGUGGUAAAUUUCAUCUAAAGCUAAAUACUGGCCGGAGACCGAUAGCGCACAAGUAGAGUGAUCGAAAGAUGAAAAGCACUUUGAAAAGAGAGUUAAACAGCACGUGAAAUUGUUGAAAGGGAAGCGCUUGCGACCAGACUCGCCCUCGGGGUUCAGCCGGCACUCGUGCCGGUGUACUUCCCCGGGGGCGGGCCAGCGUCAGCUUGGGCGGCCGGUCAAAGGCCUCCGGAAUGUAGUGCCCCCCGGGGCACCUUAUAGCCGGAGGUGCAAUGCGGCCAGCCUGGGCUGAGGAACGCGCUUCGGCACGGACGCUGGCAUAAUGGUCGCAAACGACCC
rnacentral:rRNA from 1 species